rnacentral:rRNA from 1 species
GAUGAACGCUGCGGCGUGCCUAAUACAUGCAAGUCGAGCGAAUGGAUUAAGAGCUUGCUCUUAUGAAGUUAGCGGCGGACGGGUGAGUAACACGUGGGUAACCUGCCCAUAAGACUGGGAUAACUCCGGGAACACGGGGCUAAUCCCGGAUAACAUUUUGAAACGCAUGGUUCGAAGUUGAAAGGCGGCUUCGGCUGUCACUUAUGGAUGGAACCGCGUCGCAUUAGCUAAUUGGUGAGGUAACGGAUCAUCAAGGCAACGAUGCGGAGCCGACCUGAGAGGGGGAUCGGCAAGACUGGGACUGAGACACAGCCCAGACUCCUAAGGGAGGCAGCAGUAGGGAAUCUUCCGCAAUGGACGAAAGUCUGACGGAGCAACGCCGCGUGAGUGAUGAAGGCUUUCGGAUCGUAAAACUCUGCUGUUAGGGAAGAACAAGUGCUAGUUGAAUAAGCUGGCACCUUGACGGUACCUAACCAGAAAGCCACGGCUAACUACGUGCCAGCCGCCGCGGUAA